GACGAACGCUGGCGGCGUGCUUAACACAUGCAAGUCGAACGGAAAGGCCCUGCUUUUGUGGGGUGCUCGAGUGGCGAACGGGUGAGUAACACGUGAGUAACCUGCCCUUGACUUUGGGAUAACUUCAGGAAACUGGGGCUAAUACCGGAUAGGAGCUCCUGCUGCAUGGUGGGGGUUGGAAAGUUUCGGCGGUUGGGGAUGGACUCGCGGCUUAUCAGCUUGUUGGUGGGGUAGUGGCUUACCAAGGCUUUGACGGGUAGCCGGCCUGAGAGGGUGACCGGGCACAUUGGGACUGAGAUACGGCCCAGACUCCAACGGGAGGCAGCAGUGGGGAAUAUUGCACAAUGGGCGGAAGCCUGAUGCAGCAACGCCGCGUGCGGGAUGACGGCCUUCGGGUUGUAAACCGCUUUCGCCUGUGACGAAGCGUGAGUGACGGUAAUGGGUAAAGAAGCACCGGCUAACUACGUG
rnacentral:rRNA from 1 species